CCUAUUACUCCGGUUAAGAAACUCGAAUUUCAUUCGUUCGUCGUUAAAUGGCUGUAUUAAUUCUUAGUUGUGAUCGAGUUGAAGAUAAUCGCCUGGAGCAGGUAACAGCCAUCGUAGACUUCAUGGAGAAGCACCCUGCACUAGGGCUUGGACAGCUCCGUGGACUGGAAGGCAGAGACGAGAGCAAGAAACUGUGGUUAAAGUUAACUCGCAUUGUCAAUAAUAUUUCUGGGCCUACGAGGCCUAUGAAGUCUUGGAUCAAGUACUGGGCUGACAAAAAAUCUACAGUAAGAUCAAAAGUACAAGGAUGUGGUGGGGAUCCAAAUAGCCUAUGUUCUAACAUUGAGAAGAAAAUAUGGGAUGUUUUCUUAGCAAAUGAUAAUUCAAGAACAAAUCGAGGUGCUGUGAAACAAGAAUCUCAUUAUACUGAAGAUAACUUUUUUAACGAAGACAGCAUGGAUCAGAACCAUGUUGAAUCCGAUCCGGUGCUGGCGUUCGAGGAACCCGUCGCCGAUGCUGAGGAGAGGCAAAUGGCGGUAAUGGAGAAACUGGUUAAAGUAAUGAGCGAUCAAGCGGCUGCGAUGACUCAGUUGGCUCACGCGUCUCACGUGAACGCUCAGGCCAUGGAACGGCUUGCGGAAGCGUCACACAUACAGGCUCGAGCGAUAGAGCGUUUAGCGAACACGUUCGACACGAUCAGUGCGGCGACGCACGACGUGCGCAACGCGAUCGUCGACAUCGACGCGACGAUGAAGCGAUUCUAUUCAACGUCGCCGACUUAGCAUCGGUACUCGCGUUUAUGUGAUCUGAACUGUCUGCUCGAGGACCGAGGUGACUUGUGAAUUAACCGUCGAUAUGUAUAUCGAAGGUAGAUUUGUUAUACCCGUCUACAUUCAGCGCGAGUCGUAGACCGCGUAUCCGAAGUAUAUGUUACAGUAUGUAGACGAUGUGUGUGAGUUGUAUAGUAUUAAUAUUGAGUCAUUUUAAUAGGUAACAUUUGACGUCUGUCAGUUUUUUUAAGUGAUUUUAUGACCUGGUAACUAAGACCUUUAAGUCAUGUCUUAUUUUAUUUAAUAUUCUUAUUUUUAUGAAAAAUGUGAAUUUGGAGUGAAAUGAAGAUGAUUAAUUUGAGAUAUUAAUCAACUGGGAUGAAAUUAAAUGAAAUGAGGGGAUGGAUGGGGGAAUGAUAGGAUGAAAUAUAAUCUCAGUAAAAUGGUGGUCAUUUACUGAGAUUUUUUUCAGUGAACUUUUUGGAUGGAUCCCGAGAAGUUACGUCCAGCAGCGUUGUUUCAUUUUCUCACAUUUGUGCACUUUCACAGAUAUGAAACAGUUAAUAAACCACCGUUAUUACACAUUUAAACCUGAAGAAACACUAAAUAUACAGACUAUAACAAAUCACACAACUUCACUCCUCGCGUUCCCGCCAAAAAAUCCUCUGUCAUAGUGGGGAGACCUGCUUAAAAACAUCGAUUAAAGUGAAUGAAUCGAUACGUAUUCGAAACAUAUUUGAAUUAUAAAAAUCAGCAUACGAAUCCCUGUCCCAUUAUUAUUUUUUCUUUCGUAAAUUUAAAGAGCAAAAUAAGACAAGUAUGUACAGAAUUUAACAAAAAUAUUGCAUUUAUUCAGUUGAAAUAUCAGAACUAUUAUUAGUAUUCUCAUCUUCAUCACUGCUAUCAGGACUCUGAGAUACUAUUAAUUUAUUUUUAUUAAUAUUGUCUAUUCUCUCGUUCAAAAUCUUGUAAAAUGAUUUUCUUUGUUUUCUCUACGACUUUUCUCCAGUCCUCUGUAGUGAUUUCUGCACACGCAGUUUGUAGCAGAGUCUUCAUUUUAGCAGUAAUGAAGGGUGGUUCAGUGUUGUUCCGCGCUACAUGAAUAUCAAGAUUACUGAUAUUCAAAUGUUACCUACCUAUUAAAAUGACCUAUGAGUAAUAUAUUUUUUAUAAUACGUGUUUAUAUUGUAAUUCAAUAUCUAAUUAUUAUCUGUAAACGAUCUAAUGUUAUGUUUUAAAAUUGCUUUUUUUUGUAAAACGUAAAUAUUAAUUGUUUUAAUUCAAAAACUGCUGGUAGAACGUCUUGUGAGUCCGCGCGGGUAGGUACCACCACCCGGCCUAUUUCUGCCGUGAAGCAGUAAUGCGUUUCGGUUUGAAGGGUGGCGCAGCCGUUGUAACUAUACUGAGACCUUAGAACUCAUCUGUCAUGGUAGGUGGCAAAAUUUACAAUCAAUCAUCAAUGCAAUGAAUAAAUAAAAGCAGUAGUAAAAAUUUGAGAAAUCCAAUAAAUAAAUGAAAGAGUUAAGGGCCCUUAUGGUGUUAAAUGAAGUCUCAUAGACGUCACAAUGUGAAUGACGUCACUCACCUAGAGUUGAGGUCUAUGCCUCAAUCGUAUAGUUGCUACGAAAAUUUGGUUUUUAUUACACGAUGUUUUUUCUUCAUCGUGGAGUUCACACAGUUCACGGACGUCAAUUAUACACAUAUACGAUACACUAUGUACGUGCUUUGUUUUUCCAUUAGUAUUAUUUAAUAAAUAAAUACAAUAAAUUUAUUUUAUCUAUGG